UACGGGGGGAGCAAGCGUUGUUCGGAUUUACUGGGCGUAAAGGGCGCGUAGGCGGCCACCGCAAGUCGGUUGUGAAAUCUCUGGGCUUAACCCAGAAAGGUCAACCGAUACUGCGGGGCUAGAAUGCAGAAGGGGCAACUGGAAUUCUCGGUGUAGCGGUGAAAUGCGUAGAUAUCGAGAGGAACACCCGUGGCGAAAGGGCGGUUUCUCUGGGACGGGUACUGACGCUGAGACGCGAAAGCGUGGGAGCGAACAGG
rnacentral:rRNA from 1 species